AUGGGUGAAAUUCACAUAUUCACAUAUAAUUUUCAACCAGAAACAAAAGAGUACAUACUGUAGGUUUGCAUUUAUAUGAUGUUUAAAAAUAAAUUUAAAAUGUGUUGAUCAUGAUCAGGGUAGGUAUGUCCUGGGGUUACUGCCUGGAAAUUAGCUGCAGAGGGACUGCCAGGAGUUU